UACGUAGGUGGCAAGCGUUGUCCGGAAUUAUUGGGCGUAAAGGGCGCGUAGGCGGCCUGGUCAGUCGAAGGUGAAAUCCCCGAGCUCAACUUGGGAACUGCCUUCGAUACUGCCGGGCUUGAGUCCGGGAGGGGAGAGUGGAAUUCCCAGUGUAGCGGUGAAAUGCGUAGAUAUCGAGAGGAACACCUGCGGCGAAGGCGGGUUGCUGGGCCGACACUGACGCUGAUGCGCGAAAGCCAGGGGAGCGAACGGG
rnacentral:rRNA from 1 species